rnacentral:lncRNA from 1 species
GAAGAGAUAAGAGAAAGAUUAAAAAGAGAAAAAGGGAAAGAGUAGAGAAAAUGCAGAGAGACAAACUGCAAAAUGUAAAGCUAUUUUAACAAGUAGUACGUUUUGUUACAUAAUACUUUGGCCUAUAAAUAAAAGUUGGAGUCGCAAACGAACGACUCUUUUCACUUUGAAAUAAAAUUUCUUUAUCAACUACAAGACCC